GGAGAAGAUGAUAGUUAUUACCAUCCGGUCUUAAGUUGCAUACAAAAAAUCAGUUUUUGUAACGUGGUGAUUGACACAUUAUAUAUGAUUC